rnacentral:rRNA from 1 species
UACGUAGGCAGCAAGCGUUGUUCGGAGUUACUGGGCGUAAAGGGUGUGUAGGCGGUUGCUUAAGUCCGUUGUGAAAGCCCUGGGCUCAACCUGGGAAUGGCAGUGGAUACUGGAAAGCUAGAGUGCGGUAGAGGGUAGUGGAAUUCCCGGUGUAGCAGUGAAAUGCGUAGAUAUAGGAAGGAACACCAGUGGCGAAGGCGACCACCUGGACUGAUACUGACACUGAGGUGCGAAAGCGUGGGGAGCAAACAGG